rnacentral:rRNA from 1 species
GAGUUUGAUCUUGGCUCAGGACGAACGCUGGCGGCGUGCCUAACACAUGCAAGUCGAGCGGAGACAGCGAGUAGCUUGCUAUGAGCUGUUUUAGCGGCGGACGGGUGAGUAACGCGUGAGCAACCUUUCCCAGACAGGGGAAUAACACACCGAAAGGUGUACUAAUACCGCAUAAGACCACGGAUCACAUGGUUCUGGGUAAAAGAUUUAUCGGUUUGGGU